rnacentral:lncRNA from 1 species
CGUGUCCUACUUUUCCUUUUUUUUUUUUUUUGUUAGAGAACAAAAUUACCAAAAACAAACAUAACAUAUGUUCAUGAACAUUAAGCAUAUGGUCAACGAGAAAUGUGUGAUCUAGGUAAAGUAAUUGCACUGUCAGCUUUUCGCAGAUGCUUUUUUUCUCCCAUUUCAAUUCAGAUCAACAUUUUAUUGUAUGUCUACUCUAUAUAAGGCACUGCAUUAGAAAUCCUUUCUGCAGAGAACUGGGAGAUGCUUUCUUCCAAGAGAGAAAAAGCAAACAGGGCAGAUGUAGGAAGAGGUACGAGCAGACUUCCAGCAGUGAGUGGUCUCUCCUGAACAAUCACAAAUUCAGAGAAUAUUAAACCAGAGGAGAAAUGUAGAGACUCUUUAGUUCACUUGUUAAUUUGCCAAUUUAUAUAACUAACAGAUAUGUAGUGGGUACAAUUUAUGUGUCAGGAUUUAUAUAAGGCAAAGUGUGGCAUGGUAGCAUUCAGUUGUGCAAUCAAUCCUGGAAACACAGAAAAAUGAGGAAUUUCAUUUAUCCCCACUCUCAUGUCAGCACUCAUCUGCUAUUAAGUGCACUAAGUAUGAGCAUAUUUUCUUUAAAGUAGGCAGUUCUGUGACUACAGAUAUUAGAGCUUGCAGGGACGAAUCAAUGAAAAUAGAAGAAUUCUUCAGCACUAUAUACUAUCCAAAACUCUUACAGUCAAAAUAUGUGAAUCUGAUUUCCUUUAUCACAUGGAAAUUUCACCUGACUGAAUAUUUUGAACCACUGGAGUGAUAUGCUGAAAAUUUUCCUAAUACACCCAGAUGUACUCCUAACAGAACUAGACUUAAUGUUCUCAUUAUUUUUCUAGUUUCUAAAUCUGUGAACUUUGUCUACUGUUAUAUCUUCAUGAUUUUACCUAGUUAUAAUUGGCACAGUAAGUCCUCUAGCAGACCUAUGAAAAUAUUCCCUUAUAUAUGUGUAAACAGCAUAAGUUAAAUUAAAUACUGCAUGUCAUAUAUCAAAAAUACUGGAACUAAUCUCUUGAGAAUUAUAUUUGCUCUUUAAAUGAGCAGCUAUUCAAUCACUAAUAAAAUAUCAAUUACCAAAAGAUAUGAAUUACAAAUAAAUGGAUUAAAUAUCUCUAAAUUAUCUUCAAUGUUAUUUUUCUGAGACUGUAUUAGACAAGUAUUUACUCUUUUAACAUGUCAUUAAUGGACUUGUUAAAAAAAAUCAAUCUCUUGAAAAUUAGAUAACUAGGACCCUCCAAUAUAUAGUUAGUACAGUUACUAUGAUACAUAUUACUCAGCUCUAGUUAUUUUUUUGAGUGGUCACAUUUGUUAGUGCUUAAAAAAAGUUGUGCAUAAUUUUACAUCUAAAAAUUACCCAAGAUAUCUGUCUGUCUAUCUAGCUAUCUACCUACCUGCUAUCUGUCUUUCUUACAUUAAGAAAUACAAAAUGUUUGUAUCAUAUAGUAUAGAUAUACAUUAGUUAAAAUUAAAGCAAAUAACAAAAAAUAACACAAUUCAUUUGCUGCCUUUAUUUUCCCAAAGUGGAAAAAAAUACAUAUGCUGGUGCUGGAAAGAACACCUGAAGAGAAAUAUGGGCUAGAUAUUUAAUAUUUAUGUAGCAAUGAAAUUAAACCUAUACAUGGCAUACAUGUAUACUUUUAAACUUGAUUUGCCCAGAAUUGAUGAUAAAAUUCAUAUUUCUGUAUACUGUGAAGUAGAUAUUCUAUUGAAAAAUGAUUUGAACAUGUUUAGGUCCUAGCCCCAGCUCUGUGUCACUAGCUAUGUAAUUUUUAGUAAAUUAUGUAAUAUAGGCUUUUCAAGAGUAUAUCAAGUAAAAAAAAUAAAAUUUUCAUAUAAAAAGUGGUUUAAGAACUUCUGUCUUUGAUUACUUUUCAAAAGUUAAUAUCUGAUCACACUAGAAUGUAGUUUGAUUUGUAGAGAUAAUAAGAAUAGGACAUUUGGUUUUCUGAUGCCUAACAACCAAAUGCCAGAUUCAAGUUGUCACUCUCCUUCUUCCUGAACUUAAAUAAUAAGAAUAUGGAAAGUAUAUACUAGUUUACUUUAUUUCCAGUCUCUUAAAUAUUAUAUGAUAAUUUAUAAAUCCUUGUAUUACUAAUAUGUUACUCCCUUCAAGUGGUUGUUUAUACCACUUUUAACAUUGUCACUUAUAAGAAUCAGUGUUUUCUUAGUUCUAGCCUAGUUUCUCUUAUGACUGAUGCAAUAUCUAUGAUUUUCCCCAAGUCUUAGGUGUCAUUGGAAACACAUAUGCAGAAAAUCAAGUUUCUGAUGGGUGCAUAGAUACAGGAGUGGUCACUCCUUUGCAGAUCAAAUAAAUGAGGAGUUCCCUGACAAAGCAGAGACUUCUAGUGCUCACUGUUUCUGAUUUCCUUCCUCUUGGUUUGAAGAAAAACAACACUCUCAGCCCCUUUGAUUUUGAACAGAAACAUGAUUAGCCUAGCAAAUGACAAACGUUACUUCUGGCUGAAACUCUUAAGAGCCAAUGUACUAGUUCCAUAUUCCCUUUCCCCCUACACUGAUCAUCUUGGAAUCCUUGUGGUACAAUGACACCACCAUGAAAAGGAGAUGCUACUUGGCAAAGCACAUUCUGAGAGUUAUCAAAUGUUGUAUCAUCAAGUAAUAACAAAGCUCCUGAGUUUAUCUGUUGCAGAGGGUUUAUCUGUUGCAGCAUCUAGUUAGUUAUACGCCCUGACUAAUGCAUCUGUGACCAUCUGUGAGAAAUACGUGAAAGCAUAGGAAAAGAAAAAGUCCUCACAUAUAUCUAUGCAUCACAGUAUUGGCUCCGGAAAAGAAAUUAAAAGGUGAUUUCUUCCAUGCAUCAAGUGUGUUUCAAAACUACAAAUCCCUACAAGAGGUGCAGAGGAGAUAAAUAAGCCAGUAAGACAGGUGAUUUGAUCCUAGAGAUGGCAGGAAUAAGAGAGGUCAGAAUGUUACAAUGUCUGAAAUAGGUAAGAACACAUUUUAUUUCAUAUUCAGUGUGCCUAAUGUCUUUAAUUUCGUAAAGACAGACCAGAAAUUUGCUUAGAUUUCUUCAUUUUAUAAUUUAAUCUAUUCUUGGAACUGACUGAGCACAAGGUCCAUAUGUAAUGAUAACCAUAAUGCUUCCCUUUGGGUAAAUGGGAGAUACAAGUUCUGCAUGUGUGAAAACAGUAUCACCAAGAUCAUCAGCUUUGACUGUACAAAAUGCUGGAUUCAUCUUAACAUCUGCAUUCCAAGGAGAGAACGAUAAGGAAACUUUGAUAUAGCUUCAAAGACAUAUGGAAGAUGAAGUUUUAUAUGUCAGGUAUACUCAAUGUAAUUCACAGAUUUUUAAAUUUUAAUUUAGGUACCAGAUUAAUGUUUUGAAGAUUACUGAGAUGCAUUUUUAAUCUCUAGAAAUGGGGUUAGAUAGAAUUUGCCUUCCAUGUGGCAGUGAAAGAAUUCUAAGAAGUAGGCUGAUACCUCUCAACUCUGUCUUCAACUUGUCAUAUUUUUGUGGAAGAAGAAACUAAAGUGAUUUAAGUAAGAAACAUGUAAUGGCAACCUUUAAUUUUGGCAACCUUUAUUUUGACAUAAAAUGUUUCUUUUCUCCUAAAGUAAAAACACAGAAUGGAAAGUUUCAAUACCAGUUACUGGAUUAUAAAUGACCCAUAUGAUAAUCCUCAAUUGUGUCUGUGUGCUUGUGCAACAGUGAUGUAGAUAAAUGAGAAGUGCAGAAUGAUUAGAAGCCUAAAGACCAGACUUACUCCUUAGUUAUUAUUCCAAUAGAGAAGCCUAGUAUGGUUUUAACUUAGAGUCAAAAUUAAUUAGAAUAUGAAAAUGUGAUUGAUUUUUAUAUAUUGAUCUUAUAUCUUACAACCUUGCUAAACUCACUUAUAAGUUCUAGUAACUUUUUUUUUUUAUAAUUUCUUUGAUGAUUUUCUUAGGAUAAUUAUUAGGUUGAGUAAAAAUAUAGUUUUUCUUUCUUUCAAGCCUGUCUGCCUUUGCUUUUGUUUUACUGCUUUAUUGGACAGGCUAGGACAUUUGCCAUAAUGUUGAAUUUUAUGAGGAAGGCAUUCAUCCUUGUCUUGUUCCUGAUUUAACAGGAAGAGAACUCGAUCUUUAGCCCUUAAGAAUGAUGUCAAUUGUAACAUUUUUUUUGAAAUGUCUUUUAUUAUGUUAAAAAAAUUCACUUUAAUUUCUAGAUAUCUGAGGGGUUUUUUUUUUGUCAUGAAUACACGUUCACUUUUAUCAAAUGCCUUUUCCACAUCUAUUUAAAGGAUAAUAUAGCUUUUCUUUUUCAGUCUUUUGGAAUGGUGAAUUAUAUUGAUUGAUUCUGAAUAUUGAAACAACCUUAUAUUCCCAUUAUCAAAACCAAUUGGACAUGUUUUAUUAUCACUUUAAGUUGAAUUCAAGUUUUUAAUAUAUUGUUGAUUUUUUUAUCAUACCUUUUUUUAUGAGAAUAAUGGCAGGUACUGGAGAGGAGACAAAGCAACAGGAACACACAUUUUGAAUAGGAAUGAAACAUGAUACAGUUGCUGUGGAAAAUGGAUAGAUUGUUUCUUAUAAAUUGAUACAUUUGCUUAGAUAACCAAAAAUCUCACUCCUAGAAAAUUAACCAAGAGAAAAGCAAACUUAUGCUAAAACAAACUGUUCAUGAAGUUGCAUAGUAGCUUUACUCAUAAUUACCCCAAAUUGGGAACCACUCAAAGUCUUCCAAUUAGUGAAUGGGUAAACAACCUAUUAUAUUUCCAUACAGUGCAAUAUGUAAAAAGAAUGAUCUAUUGAGUCACACAACAUAGAUCAAUCUCAAAAGC